AUGCUCGCCACCAUGAUGCGCGCCUUCCUCCGCGCCCGCCUCCCGCGCCGCGCCCUCGCGCUCUUCCGCCGCGUCGUCCGCCAAGCCCUCCCCGCCGACGCGCGCACGCUCGUCUUCGCGCUCAAGGCCGCCGCGGCCGCCGAGCACGGGCCGUCGUCCGCGGGCGGGGAGGGCGUCCACUGCGUCGCCCUCAAGUGGGGGUUCGUUGGCCGGAGCGUGCUCGUCGGGAACGCGCUGGUGCACUUCUACGCGGACCACGGGUCGCUGGCGCGUGCGCGGAGGGUGUUCGACGAAAUGUCCGAGAGGGACGUCGUUUCCUGGACGACCAUGGUGGACGGGUAUGCGCGGAGGGGGUUGGCUGACGAUGCCUGGCGCGUGUUUUGCAGGAUGGUGGUGGCGGGGGGCCAGCAGCCGAAUGAGGUGACGCUGGUUGCGGCGCUGUCGGCGAUCGGGCAGAUGGGAUUGCUGGCACUGGGGAGGAGGGUGCAUCGGUAUGUUGCAGAGGGUGGUUUAGGUGGAAGCAUUAGCUUGGCGAAUGCGCUGAUCGAUAUGUUCAGGAAAUUCGGGUGCAAGUCCUCUGCCAGGGAGGUUUUUGACGGCAUGGCGGUCAAGGAUGUGUACUCCUGGACGACCAUGGUUAACGUUUAUGCCAAGUGCGGUCACUUGGAGAGUGCAGCUCAACUGUUCGAGGAUAUGCCUAGGAGGAACGCAGUUUCUUGGAGUUGCAUGAUCGCUGCUUACUCACAGGCAAAUCAGCCUGAGGAAGCAGUGAGGUUGUUUAAAAAGAUGAUUGAAGAAAAUGUUGAGCCGAUUAAUGCUACCCUUGUAAGCGUGCUUCCGGCCUGUGCUCAGUUAGGUUGCCUGGAUCUUGGUAGGUGGAUAUAUGAUAACUACAUUGUCAGUGGUAAGGUUGUACUUACCGUGAAUUUAGGUAAUGCAUUCAUUGACAUGUAUGCAAAAUGUGGAGAUUUGGAUGCAGCAUCAAGAUUGUUUGCUGAGAUGGGAGAGAGAAAUGUAGUGAGUUGGAAUUCGAUGGUCAUGGCCCAUGCUGUGCACGGUCAGUCUGAACAAGUCCUUCAUCUCUUUGAGCAGUUGAAAGGAACAGGUAUUGUGCCUGAUGAGAUCACAUUCCUUGGGCUACUUUCUGCAUGCAGUCAUAGUGGGUUGGUUUCAGAAGGGCGUCGGUAUUUUAAAGAAAUGAAAAUGGGCUAUCAGAUUGAACCCAAAGCAGAACACUAUGCAUGCAUGAUUGAUCUUUUGGGGAAAAGUGGACUUCUUGAAGAGGCACUCGAAGUUGCAAAGGGUAUGCCAAUGGAAGCUGGCGAGGCCGGUUGGGGUGCUCUUUUGAAUGCAUGCAGAGUGCAUGGCAAUGUAGAGAUUGGUGAAUGUGCUGCAGAUAAGCUAGUAAAACUCGAUCCAUCGGACAGUGGAAUAUAUGUACUUAUGUGCCAAAUAUAUGCAAGUAAAAGUAAAUGGGAUCAGGUGAAGAUGCUGAGGAUGUUGAUGAGAGAUAGAGGGGUAAAAAAGAACCCUGGAUGUAGUUCUAUUGAGGUGGAUGGAAAAUGUCAUGAGUUUUUGGCGGCAGAUGUUUUACAUGUUCAUUCAGAAGAUAUUUAUGCAGCAUUGAAGAACAUUUAUAUCCAUUUAAAACUGGAAGGUUAUGUUCCUCUGACUUGA
rnacentral:rRNA from 1 species